CUUUAUUGCACUACUGUACUUUACAGCUAGCAGUGCAAUAGUAUUGUC
rnacentral:precursor_RNA from 1 species